AGAAACUUAGGAUAAAGCCAAACUAAACCGAAUGCCUUCAAAGCCUUAAAUAAGAGUUAAACCCUCUUAGUUUCUG
rnacentral:tRNA from 1 species